CCUACGGGCGGCAGCAGUGGGGAAUAUUGCGCAAUGGGCGAAAGCCUGACGCCGCGACGCCGCGUGAGGGAUGAAGGUCUUCGGAUCGUAAACCUCUGUCAGCAGGGAAGAACGGUCACUGUGCUAAUCAGCAGUGAAUUGACGGUACCUGCAAAGGAAGCACCGGCUAACUCCGUGCCAGCCGCCGCGGUAAGACGGAGGGUGCGAGCGUUAAUCGGAAUUACUGGGCGUAAAGCGCUCGUAGGCGGUAUGUCAAGUCAAGGGUGAAAUCCCCGCGCUCAACGUGGGAACUGCCUUUGAAACUGGCAAACUGGAGUGUGUGAGAGGAUAGUGGAAUUCCAGGUGUAGGAGUGAAAUCCGUAGAUAUCUGGAGGAACAUCAGUGGCGAAGGCGACUAUCUGGCACAUAACUGACGCUGAGGAGCGAAAGCGUGGGUAGCAAACAGGAUUAGAUACCCGAGUAGUC
rnacentral:rRNA from 1 species